GCCCGUCUAGCAAAAUCGGCCAAUGCGUCCGACUCUUAAAUAUGAAUCGGAAGGUUGUGGGUUCGAGUCCCACGGUGGGCU
rnacentral:tRNA from 1 species